GAUCCGGCUCAGGAUGAACGCUGGCGGCGUGCUUAACACAUGCAAGUCGAACGGGAAACAUUUCAUUGAGGCUUCGGCGGAUUUGAUUUGUUUCUAGUGGCGGACGGGUGAGUAACGCGUGGGUAACCUGCCUUAUACCGGGGGAUAACAGCCAGAAAUGGCUGCUAAUACCGCAUAAGCGCACAGAACCGCAUGGUUCGGUGUGAAAAACUCCGGUGGUAUAAGAUGGACCCGCGUUGGAUUAGCUAGUUGG
rnacentral:rRNA from 1 species